rnacentral:tRNA from 4 species
GGGCGAUUGGCUCAGCGGUAGAGCGCUUCGUUCACACCGAAGAGGUCACUGGUUCGAUCCCAGUAUCGCCCACCG